GUACCCAAUUCAGUAGCACAUAUACUAAAAUUGAAACAAUAGAGAGAAUGUUAGCAUGGCCCUUAAACAAAGCUUAUAGGCAAAUUCAUGAAGCAUUCCAUGGUUUU
rnacentral:snRNA from 1 species